UGUCCUGAGAAAGCUAUGGAGGUCCUA
rnacentral:piRNA from 1 species